rnacentral:rRNA from 1 species
UGGCGGCAUGCCUAACACAUGCAAGUCGAACGGUAACGCGGAGAGCUUGCUCUCUGGCGACGAGUGGCGGACGGGUGAGUAAUACUUAGGAAUCUGCCCAGUAGUGGGGGACAACUCGGGGAAACUCGAGCUAAUACCGCAUACGCCCUACGGGGGAAAGCGGGGGAUCUUCGGACCUCGCGCUAUUGGAUGAGCCUAAGUCGGAUUAGCUUGUUGGUGAGGUAAUAGCUCACCAAGGCGACGAUCCGUAGCUGGUCUGAGAGGACGAUCAGCCACACUGGGACUGAGACACGGCCCAGACUCCUACGGGAGGCAGCAGUGGGGAAUAUUGGACAAUGGGCGCAAGCCUGAUCCAGCAAUGCCGCGUGUGUGAAGAAGGCCUGCGGGUUGUAAAGCACUUUCAGUAGAGAAGAAAAGCCUAGGGUUAAUAGCCCUGAGUCUUGACGUAACCUACAGAAGAAGCACCGGCUAACUCCGUGCCAGCAGCCGCGGUAAUACGGAGGGUGCGAGCGUUGUUCGGAAUUAUUGGGCGUAAAGAGCAUGUAGGCGGUUGUUUAAGUCUGAUGUGAAAGCCCCUGGCUCAACCCAGGAAUGCAUUGGAUACUGGACAACUUG